rnacentral:rRNA from 1 species
GACGAACGCUGGCGGCGUGCUUAACACAUGCAAGUCGAACGGAAAGGCCCUGCUUUUGUGGGGUGCUCGAGUGGCGAACGGGUGAGUAACACGUGAGUAACCUGCCCUUGACUUUGGGAUAACUUCAGGAAACUGGGGCUAAUACCGGAUAGGAGCUCCUGCUGCAUGGUGGGGGUUGGAAAGUUUCGGCGGUUGGGGAUGGACUCGCGGCUUAUCAGCUUGUUGGUGGGGUAGUGGCUUACCAAGGCUUUGACGGGUAGCCGGCCUGAGAGGGUGACCGGCCAAUUGGGGAAUGAGAGAGGGCCCAGUCCCCAACGGGGGGCAGCGGGGGGAAAUUUUGCACAAGGGGCGGAAGCCGGAUGCAGAAACGCCGGGUGGGGGAAGACGGCCUUCGGGUUGAAAACCGCUUCCGCCUGGGACGAAGCGGGAGUGACGGUAAGGGAAAAAGAAGCACCGGCUAACUACGUG